CCUACGGGUGGCAGCAGUGAGGAAUAUUGGUCAAUGGGCGCGAGCCUGAACCAGCCAAGUAGCGUGAAGGAUGACUGCCCUACGGGUUGUAAACUUCUUUUAUAAAGGAAUAAAGUGAGGCACGUGUGCCUUUUUGUAUGUACUUUAUGACUAAGGAUCGGCUAACUCCGUGCCAGCAGCCGCGGUAAUACGGAGGAUCCGAGCGUUAUCCGGAUUUAUUGGGUGUAAAGUGAGCGUAGAUGGGUUGUUAAGUCAGUUGUGAAAGUAUGCGGCUCAACCGUAAAAUUGCAAUUGAUACUGGCAGUCUUGAGUACAGUUGGGGUAGGCGGAAUUCGUGGUGUAGCAGUGAAAUGCUUAGAUAUCGCGAAGAACUCUGAUUGCGAAGGCAGGUUACUAAACAGCCACUGACAUUGAUGCUCGAAGGUGUGGGUAUCAAACAGGAUUAGAUACCCGGGUAGUC
rnacentral:rRNA from 1 species